UACAGAGGUGGCAAGCGUUGUUCGGAAUUACUGGGCGUAAAGGGCGCGUAGGCGGCCAUCUAAGUCAGACGUGAAAUCCCCGGGCUUAACCUGGGAACUGCAUUUGUGACUGCAUGGCUGGAGUGCGGCAGAGGGGGAUGGAAUUCCGCGUGUAGCAGUGAAAUGCGUAGAUAUGCGGAGGAACACCGAUGGCGAAGGCAAUCCCCUGGGCCUGCACUGACGCUCAUGCACGAAAGCGUGGGGAGCAAACAGG
rnacentral:rRNA from 1 species